UUCCUUACUGUUCUUGUUCAUAGAAGUGAAAAUGUGUCUGACUCUUGCUAAUGAUGUGUUUUCUGGAAGAGGGUGGGGCUUUAUAGGUGAGCUGUCCAUCCUAAGCUGUAUGGUUGGGAGACCUUAUUACUACACCAUGAACCCGAGAAGGCCAGAGGGUAAUAUUGACAUAGUUAAACAAGGAGAAAUUAGUAUUAACCAAGCAUAAGAGAUCACUUGAUCUGGAUAAACAGGAAGUGAGAGUAGGAUAGGGAGGGAUGUCUCAGUGGAGUUCUAUGUAGACCAAGUGGUGUCUCUGACUCCUUGGCAGUUCAGGACUAAAAGUAGCUAUUAUGGAAGACAUCUAUGCAAGUCUCUGUGUAGUUCAUGGAAACAUGUUAUAGCUCACAUCAUGUGAGAAGGCUACAUAAAUCUACAUACCCAGCAUGGAAGGAGAUGGAGUGUAGUGAAAGUAAGGGUUUCAGUUGAUAACCUAGUGCAUUCCAGGUAGAAAAAGUUAGAGCAGCUGAUAGCUCUAUAGUCAGUAGAAUACAAGCAGAGUCCCUGACAAAGCAGAUACUGACUGUGGAGUUGUCCAAAGCCAAGAGCCGGUGUGGAUAGUUCAGAAAUUGAAUUAUUCACCUAAGGGAACAGCCUGUAUGGUAAAACUAUUCAUGGAAGCAGGAAAGCCAGAUAAUAAGUUGUAUGGAUUUGCACUAUUUAUAUCCACAUGUUCCUCUGAAAUCUGAGCUUCCUCCUUUCACAGAGGCAACGGGAGACUGUUUACUGUUUGAUUCAGGAUAGUACUCCUGGGAAAUAUGUGGGGCAAAAUCAGUAUUGCAAUAGGACGGAUAAUGUUACUUCUGAUGCGACCAAUGAGUGAUUUGGCAGGCUGGUUGAGAUCUGGGGAUUUCAGUAAGAUAAGGAGGCCCAGGGCUCACAUCUGUUGGUUGUGUGGGAGAAUGACAUGAUGGCCGAGUAUUACUGGCUAAUUGAACAGAGGUAUGUGUACUGGUACAUUUGAGAAUGCCCUUCACACUCAUUCAACACCAUGACAUGAUGUUGACUAAACGGGAGAAAAUAAGUACUCCGACUGGGUCUUUGGAUGAUAGGGUUUGUAUUAAUAGCAUUGUGGUUCCAAGGGUGGCAGAUGAGAUCAAAGCUAUAAAUUAGAUCCUGGCAGGAUGAGAGUCAAGUAUUUUUGGUGGUCCACUCUCAAUGAGAAUGUGGAUUGGAUCAAUUAUAUCUAUUAAAAAUCCACAGCGCUUCACCAAUUAUAUUGGAGAUGUAAUGAAUGACUUGGCAGAAUAGAAUAGUCUUGGAUGUUUGCUGGCUGAAGAGGGUGGGAGUGUAUGGAGGUAAUUUGACUCCAGGAUAUACAGUUAGGAUGGAUCAGUGACCAAGGCCUUGUCUGGUUUACACACCCUAGUUCACGAGUUGGAAAUAAACUCAGGGGUGGAUACUUCUCUGACUAAUUGGGUUGACAGUAUGUUUGGAAGAUGGAAAAAUGUUAUGAUUACUGUGUUGUGGGCUACCUUCACCUGUGUGACUGUGUUAGUUUUGUUCGGAUGUGGUUGAUUGCGUGUAUGAAAGUUAUCAUUUCCAGGACUCUGGAGAAAUCGAUGACACUUCAGAUGGUGAUAUAUGGACCAAUCCUAAGCUCUGACCAGUGGAAUACAAAAUACAUGGCUUGGACGUAAUAGAAGAAUCCGGAUCCUUUCACUCGCGGGGAGACCAUAUUUGAUGUUUAGGAAAUUUAAAUUAAAUUCAAUGUCUAGACUGUUUUUUCAUGAAGAUUAACAGAAAAUCCUGAUCAGUAGAAGUAAGAUUCUGAUGUAGGUUAGAACAGUCAUUGAAGUUGAUUAUGUACAUGCAUGUACUGGUUGUCUUCUUCUAGCAUAUCAUUGAUAUUUCCAUGUGGUGUUUAAUGAUGGUAUGAGUUAAGUCAUUUUGAGGGUGGAUUGUUAGGAAAUUAUGAUUAAAAUGACUGAACAAAUCAUUUUAAAUGGAACUGUAACUAAGUAAACUUAUACUCUGUUUUAUUAUAUCUGAUUAACUAUAUGAGUUCAUAAGGUGGGAUUGUGAGACACGGACAAGGAGUAAUAAAAGUUAAUGAACACCAUUCCAACUAGCAAUAAAACAAAUGGGUUGUGGACUGUGAAAACAAAUAAGGUCGUUAGCCUAUGGUUGACCCUACAGAAACUUAGCUCUGGGGUUUUUAGAUAAGACAGUGAGUGCAUUCCUAAGUUUUCUGUUAAUUAGAACUGUCAGUUCAGUGGUGAUCGAUGAUGUUGAGGGGUCAAAAGUUAUCUGGGAGUGUGUUAGAAUGAACUUUUCACCUCACUUUGUCCCGGUCGAGAGGAGGGGAUUCUGUUAAAGCAAUGAAAUGACCCCAUGAUCUGUAUAUAAACUGCUGUUCGUAAUUAAGUGGGAGCGCGCUCCGAGAAUAAAUUCUAUUACCUAUUAUUGAAA